GGGCUAUCUUUCAUUGGCAAGUCAAUCAGAAGGAGGAGUUAUCGGCGGUGAAAUUCCUGGGUCAAAGAGCAUGUGCAUUGACGAUGGAUGUUGCUAAAUUGUCCUCAGUAGAGAAUGUAGUGCCAGUUGCCAUACCAGCAGUGUGUGAGAGCUGUUCACAUGUUAGGGAACUUUCUGAUCUUUGUCAGAUUGACUGGCAGAAAAUGGUGUGUUUAGAGUUUUGAUUUGCAUUUCUUUUAUGAGUGAACACACUUUAAGUUGAGCCAUUUGUAUUUUCUCUCUUGUGAGUUGUCUGUUAAUAUCCGUGACCCAUUUUUUUCCCCUCCCCAUCCUCUCCACGACCCAUUUUUAGAAAAUGAGAUUAUUAAUCAGUUCUUGUGUUUGGGGGAAUUGCUACAUUGAGGACAUUAGUUCUUUGAGCUUAAUGUAUUACAUGGACUUUAAGAAAAGAGGUAAUCAUAGAAAGUAAGAUGGGAGCUUCAGUUUAUUAAAAUCAAAGUGGAAGCCAUUCAGGAUGGGUUGUGGCCAGUAAGCUUUGAGUAUUGCUAUUAGACCUGGCAUCUAUUUUCAGCUGUGUUUCAUCACAUAAAAGAUAUUCAAC
rnacentral:lncRNA from 1 species